rnacentral:rRNA from 1 species
CCUACGGGAGGCAGCAGUGAGGAAUAUUGGUCAAUGGGCGAGAGCCUGAACCAGCCAAGUCGCGUGAAGGAUGAAGGACCUAUGGUUUGUAAACUUCUUUUAUAUGGGAAUAAAGUGAGGAACGUGUUCCUUUUUGUAUGUACCAUAUGAAUAAGCAUCGGCUAACUCCGUGCCAGCAGCCGCGGUAAUACGGAGGAUGCGAGCGUUAUCCGGAUUUAUUGGGUUUAAAGGGUGCGUAGGUGGUUAAUUAAGUCAGCGGUGAAAGUUUGUGGCUCAACCAUAAAAUUGCAGUUGAAACUGGUAGACUUGAGUAUAUUUGAGGUAGGCGGAAUGCGUGGUGUAGCGGUGAAAUGCAUAGAUAUCACGCAGAACUCCGAUUGCGAAGGCAGCUUACUAAACUAUAACUGACACUGAGGCACGAAAGCGUGGGGAUCAAACAGGAUUAGAUACCCCUGUAGUC